rnacentral:rRNA from 1 species
UCUACGGGCGGCAGCAGUGGGGAAUAUUGCGCAAUGGGCGAAAGCCUGACGCAGCGACGCCGCGUGAUGGAUGAAGGUCUUCGGAUCGUAAACCUCUGUCAGCAGGGAAGAACGGUCACUGUGCUAAUCAGCAGUGCAUUGACGGUACCUGCAAAGGAAGCACCGGCUAACUCCGUGCCAGCAGCCGCGGUAAUACGGAGGGUGCGAGCGUUAAUCGGAAUUACUGGGCGUAAAGCGCUCGUAGGCGGUAUGUCAAGUCAAGGGUGAAAUCCCCGGGCUCAACGUGGGAACUGCCUUUGAAACUGGCAAACUGGAGUGUGGGAGAGGAUAGUGGAAUUCCAGGUGUAGGAGUGAAAUCCGUAGAUAUCUGGAGGAACAUCAGUGGCGAAGGCGACUAUCUGGAACAUAACUGACGCUGAGGAGCGAAAGCGUGGGUAGCAAACAGGAUUAGAUACCCGAGUAGUC